UGGGGAAUUUUGGACAAUGGGCGAAAGCCUGAUCCAGCAAUGCCGCGUGUGUGAAGAAGGCCUUCGGGUUGUAAAGCACUUUUGUCCGGAAAGAAAUCCUUGGCUCUAAUACAGUCGGGGGAUGACGGUACCGGAAGAAUAAGCACCGGCUAACUACGUGCCAGCAGCCGCGGUAAUACGUAGGGUGCAAGCGUUAAUCGGAAUUACUGGGCGUAAAGCGUGCGCAGGCGGUUUGCUAAGACCGAUGUGAAAUCCCCGGGCUCAACCUGGGAACUGCAUUGGUGACUGGCAGGCUAGAGUAUGGCAGAGGGGGGUAGAAUUCCACGUGUAGCAGUGAAAUGCGUAGAGACUGUGGAGGAAUACCGAUGGCGAAGGCAGCCCCCUGGGCCAAUACUGACGCUCAUGCACGAAAGCGUGGGGAGCAAACAGGAUUAGAUACCCUGGUAGUCCACGCCCUAAAACGAUGUCAACUAGUUGUUGGGGAUUCAUUUCCUUAGUAACGUAGCUAACGCGUGAAGUUGACCGCCUGGGGAGUACGGUCGCAAGAUUAAAACUUAAAGGAAUUGACGGGGUCAUAGCUGUUUCCU
rnacentral:rRNA from 1 species